GAGAAGAAUUGCUGCAGUAUUGAGGAAUGCCUCUCCACAGCUCAUGCAAUGCAUUGUGGGAUACUGGAGGGCCCAGCUCAAGGUUUUCUUCUCUCGCAGAGUGCAUGGCAGCCCAAUUGUAUGGUAGUCAGGUAUGUAUAGAAAGCAUGGAAUCAGACUGAAAUGCAUGGAAUUCCUGGAUGAAUGGUAUCUGAUGGAUUCCUGCAUGCAUGGAAUCAGGCUGAAAAUCUUGCAGAUACUGCAUUAUUGUUUUAAAGAUUUUUUUUUCCUAAUGGACCAACACAGCUACCAGCUUUUGAUUUCUAAAUUAUAAUAUCUGCUCCCUCUCUGAAUUGUGGCAGACAUUUAGAAGCAAUGCUUAUUCCAUUAGGCUCAUCAGUGCUAAUUCUCUGCAAUAAUAUGAAAGAAAUGUAGAAAAUUAGCAUCUUUGGUUGUUGUCUCUUUGUGGUGCAGUAAUAAAAUUCCACUUCCCCCUA